GAGGGUAUAGCUCAGUGGUAGAGUGACUGCUUAGCAUGCCGAGGUCCUGGGUUCAAUCCCCAGUACCUCCA
rnacentral:tRNA from 1 species